AUUGUGUGAACUACAACAUUGUA
rnacentral:siRNA from 1 species